CGGAGUCUCAGAGUCUUGCUGUGUCACCCAGGCUGGAGUGCAGUGGUGUGAUCUCAGCUUACUGUAACCUCUGCCUCCCAGGUUCAAGCGAUUCUCCUGCCUCAGCCUCCCGAGUAUCUGGGAUUACAGACUACACCAUCAUACCCAGCUAAUUAUUUUUUUUAAUUUUUAAUUUUUUUUAGACAGAGUCUCACUCUGUUGCCUAGGCUGGAGUGCAGUGGCAUGAUCUCGGCUUACUGCAACCUCCGCCUCCCGGGUUCAAGCGAUUCUCCUGCCUCAGCCUGCCAAGUAGCUGGGACUACAGGCACGUGCCACCACACCCGGGUGAUUUUUCUAUUUUUAGUAGAGACGGGGGUCUCACCAUGUUGGCCAGGCUGGUCUCAAACUCCUUAUCUCAGGUGAUCCGCCCGCCUUGGCCCUCCAACUCUGUGCUGGAGUUACAGAUAUGAGCCAUUGCGUCUGGCCAGGCCGCCUUUUAAAUUAGGAACCAGGAGCAUGGCCUGAAAAAAUGAUUGUUUUGGUGCCCCGACCCCACGAGGGAGUGGGGGACUGAGACCCCCAUCAGGCCACUGAGCAGGGGAGCCAGGACAGCUUGGCGGUCACACCCCUGAGGUCUGGGUGCAGCGCGGGAAGUCUGGGUCCCUUCUAGGAUCUCUGGGCCACUAGUCCAGCUGUGGGGACAGUGCCCGAAGCCCCUGCCCCACUGACUGGGGAUCCGGAAAAAGGGUGCCACCUCCCCACCCCAGGCAUCUACUUUGCUUAAUGGGGGUUGAGCCCAAAGAGAUGCUAUUGAGCAUCUAACACAACUAUUGUCACUUUUCUGGCCACUUUUCCACAUCAAACUCAUUCUUUUGGUCAAGUGGGAAUAGAAAUCAGGGAAAGUUGUGGGGAAAGUCAUUUUGAGUAAACAGAUUCAAAAGCGCUCGACAGCCCCUCGGCGGCUCCGCUCCGAAUAACCACACCGCGGUGGGCAGGUUUCGGAGCGGAGGCCGGGUGGAGACCCUCCACCAGCUGCAAAAACCAGCGGAGUGGGCGGCUCCGCCAAGCAGAGGACCCAGCGCAGGCGUCGCAUUUCGCUCUUCAACCUCCAGGUGGCGCUAGCGGGGGCGGAGCGCGUAUUUGCAUUGGGGGCGGAGCUUCAGAAAUGCUGACUGUUGAAUGGCUGGGCUCAGUCUCGCUUUCUUUUCGCCUUCCUGGCAGGGCUAGGGAGGGGACCCAGUCCCGGUGCCUGAGCUGCGCAAGAGGAAACGUGUGUGUGGGAGGGUGACAUGGGGGACGGGGUUGGCUCACUUGACACAGAAAGAGAACAUUUGUGGCAUGGCCCCCGGGUGUGUUCACUCCUCAAGGACAAUCUUGAUUUCCUGGUUUUUGUUUCUUUUUUAAUAAAGGCAAUUUGUUAAGUGUAUAAUUGUGUUUUCCAUUUAUCAUUCCUUUAUAAGACAUCUCAUAAAUUUACACACCAGGAAAAAUCCUUGGUGGGACCUGUUGAUAAUAAAGACAUCGUUUAUUUACAAAAGAACGAAGGUGAGGACCUUCUAGACCUCCCUUUUUCGUUUUCUUGGUCUCUAAAUGUUGUGUGUGUAUUACCAAUAUAACUAUCUGUGGCUGUAUUUUAUUUGCACAUAAAAUCUAACAACUGACUGUUAAGCUUCCGCUAUCUGGCAGGCAUUGGGUGGGGUUUCUCUUAGUCAAGAGUGAGGAAAAAAAGAGGGGGAGCUCGUGGACAGGUAGGACAGGCGGCAGACAGGAUCCAGGCUGUGCACGGGGAACACUUAAGAACUCUGCCAUAAGCACCGAAGAAGAAGUGGAGCCACAGGGAGACGAGCGGGGAAUUUAGAGGAAGUGGGGCCCGAGGGCAGCGGAGCAGAGCCGCUAGCUCAAAAAGCGCAGUGCUGAAGUCACAUUGAUGUCAUCGCAGAAGCCCAGAGGAGCUAAGGAGAGGUGAGAUGUUGGGGGAUUCCCUAGGGCACCUGGAGUGGGCCCCUGGCCUUUUGUCCGGUUGGUGGGGAGGAAAGCAUUGGAGAGUGUAACUUCCAGAAUAUUUCCUUUUUGCUUCCGGAUAGAAAGCCAUCUCUGGGGCCAGGCGUGGUGGCUCACGACUGUAAUUUUAGCACUUUGGGAGGCUGAGGCGGGUGGAUCACGAGGUCAGGAGUUCAAGACCAGCCUGGCCAACAUGGUGAAACCUCGUCUCUACUCAAAAUAUAAAAAUUAGCUGGGUAUGGUGGCGGGCGCCUGUAAUCCCAGCUAGUUGGGAGGCUGAGGCAGGAGAAUGGCUUGAAUCUGGGAGGCAGAGGUUGUGGUGAGCCGAUCACACUACUGUACUCCAGCCUGGGUGACAAAGUGAGACUCCGUCGAAAAGAAAAAAAAAAAGAAAUAUUUGCUAAGUGAAUAAGGGAAGCAGAUGCUUCUCGAUUGGUCGAGAAAGCUCCCUCUAGGAGCCUGCACAGAGCCCAAUAUCUCUGGCAAACGAUAAUUUGUUCAGAGAGGGCUCUCUUUAGUGUAGGGGAAAGUAGCCCCUUUGCCCCGGGAGAAAAUUGUGACAAGACCUUGGUGUUUCAAGGGCUUGAAAAAACUGCCCACCCACUGAGGGGGCAAGCAAGUUGCAAGUGUGUGUAUACCUGGUGGUGAGAGUGAGAUCCGCGAGGUGGUCCUCCCCAUCCUGUCCUGGUCCUUACCUGCCAUUCCAAGACCAGCCUCCACCCCAGAAGCAGAUUUUCCCAUGACUUGAGGGCUACAGUCUGGGCAGAGAUUUGGCUCAGGGCCCUGCACUCCACCCCUUGACCUCUUUAAGUGGCCCUUUACGUGUCUGGGCAGGGGAGACAAAUCAGCGCCCCAAGCCUGAGUACCCGUGCCAGGCCUGGGGAGAUCCUCAGCCAUCUGGCACUGGGCGUGGGGCUUGGGCCCUGGCAGCACCAGGUUCCCUCGUCCCCAUCACUGUAGCCUUUCGCCUAUGAGUCCAGGUAGGGUCUGGCUAGUGCAGCUCAGUGUGGCUUGACCCACAGUGCCCAGUGGAUGGUGCAGACACUAGUGUCAGAGGAAGAAAGGAAAGCAACCAUUAUUACUCAUUUGCUAUGUGCUCAGCCCUGCUCCAGGUGUCUUACACGUUUUAAUAUAAUCCUUAGAACAACUAAAUAGGUUGGAAUUAUCUUCAUUUUAUAGAUGCAGAGAAUAAGGCAGUGACCUGAAGUCACUCGAGAAAGGAGCAGCGUCAGGAUUCAAAUGAAGAGUUUGACUCUUCGUCGAUAGUGGGAAGUGAUGGAGCAUCAGAGCCCAACAGACAGAUGGGGUUUCUCCUUUCUAACUACAUGAGGACGCCGACCUCUUCAGGCCCUGUUCCCCUGGGAAUCGAUAACAUCACAUCACAGUUUUGCUGAGCAGAUGACACUAAGAUCACACAGUGAUGGCGGAAGGCAGGAAGAUAAGCUGGACUCCUUGAAGCCGACACCCCCCAGGGAAAUUCCGUCACCCGCCUUGAGCACUGUAGACCGGGCUAGGAUAGGGCUUUGCCCUGUUACCCAGGCUGGAAUGCAGUGGCGUGACUAUGGCUCACUGCAGCCUUAAACUCCUGGGCUCAAGCAAUCCUCCCGCCUCUGCCUCCAAAGCAGCUGGGACUACAGGUGUGCACUACCACAUCCGGCUAAUUUAUUUUUUGUAGAGAUGGGGUCUUGCUAUGUUGCCUAUGCUGGUCUCGAACUCCUGGCAUCAAGUGAUCCCCCUGCCUCAGCCUCCUAAAGUGCUGAGAUUACAGGCGUGAACCACUAUGCCCAGCCUAGUCUGACCUUUUGGCGUCCAUGCCACAUAUGUCAUUCUCAUCAACUCAUUGGCACUGCUGUCCACUUCCUCCCAGGCCUAGCUCAGACUCACUAGAUGAUUUCAGAAUCUGCAGAAUCUUCUUCCUCUUCUCCCAGUUUCUUCCUCAGCAAUUUCGGGGCCCUUGCUCACAAAUUCCUUGCCCCCUGAGACUCUAAAGACCACCCUGUCUUAGCCACACCUGCCCCUAUGGGCCAAGAACGCUCCAGACCCACUGUCCCAUAGGUUGGUUUCCCUCUCUUGUCACAGCUUCCUUACUUGUAUCUCCCACUUGACUUCUACCCUUCCUUAAGUAAGACCACUCCACUUCCCUUAGUCUACCAGUUCUGCUCAGACUAAACCACAGGCAUUGGAGUUGAACUCAGGCUGUGCCAUUUAUCACCUGGCAGGUUCUUUCACUCCCCCGAGCCUUGUUCAGAAUUCCUCCCUGGGAGGAUGCUGCUGGCUCCUCCUCAUCCUUCCUGCUCUCCCUACCUUCACCUCCUUGGGGUGACCAGCCAUUGCAUUUCUCUCCCCGAUAAGGUACUCUCUAUCUCAUCACCCCAUUUAUUUCCUUUGAUUUGUUCAUUUAUUGACCUCCUACCAAGCACCAGGCACUGGAACACAACAUGAACAAAACAGACUAAAAUCUCUGCCUUGAGGAGCUGAUGUUUAAGAGGAAUCCAGCAACUAACACAUUAAUGCACGACAGAGAGAACAGCUCACCCUCAAAUGUCCAAAGAAAAUUCUGUCUUCUGUUCAGUAUAACAUAGAAGGAUGAAGAUUAAGAGCAUGAAGUUUGGAGUCAGAAAGACCCAGUUCUCUACUUUUUUUUUUUUUUUUUUUGGGACAGAAUCUCUCUCUGUUGCCCAGGCUGGAGUGCAGUCGCAUGAUCUUGGCUCACUGCAACCUCUGCCUCCUGAGUUCAAGGGAUUCUCCUGCCUUCAGCCUCCCGAGUAGCUGCGAUUACAGGCAUGCACCACCACACCUGGCUAAUUUUUGUAUUUUUAGUAGAGACAGGGUUUCACCAUGUUGGCCAGGCUGGUCUCGAAUUCUUGGCCUCAAGUGAUCCGCCUGCCUUGGCCUUCCAAAGUGCUGGGAUUACAGGCGUGAGCCACCACGCCUGGCCUAAUCUCUGCCAUUUAACAGCUACAUGAACACUAUCUCUCUGAGCCUAUUUCCUCAUGGGUAAAAUGGGGAUAUUCAAAUCUGUCUCACAGUGUUGUUAAGGAUUAGAUGAGAUCAUCAUACGUGAAAAUCAUUCCGUGUAGCUCUUCCCAGAUGUCAUGUGUUAAGCAGGUUUGAUGUAUAAUGAAACUAGGAAGGCACUACUGUCCUUUGCUGUCACCUUCCCUUCUUGCUUUUAUUCUUCCACGAAGCCACAAAACCAUUUGGCUAUUCUAGCCCACAAUAAUCUCUUCCUUUUCAGAAACUCUUAUUAUACUUAUAUGCUGAAAGUUUUAUGAUUAGCUUUUUCUGCCACUUCAUUUGAUCUCCUAUUUAUUUUGCAUUUUUGGUCUUGCUUUUUUUUUUUUUUUUUUUUGAGAUGGAGUUUCACUCUUGUUGCCCAGGCUGGCGUGCAGUGGCGCGAUCUCGGCUCACUGCAAUCUCUGCCUCCCAGGUUCAAGUGAUUCUCCUGCCUCAUUCUCCCCAAAUAGCUGGGACUACAGGCGCCUGCCACCACAUCUGGCUAAUUUUUUGUAUUUUUAGUAGAGCCAAGGUUUCACUAUGUUGGCCAGCCUGCUGGUCUUGAAUUCCUGACCUCGUGAUCCACCCACCUCAGCCUCCCAAAGUGCUGGGAUUACAAGCGUGAGCCACUGCGCCUGGCCUGGUCUUGCUUUCUUAACUAGAUCAUAAACUUCUCCAGUCAAAGGGUCAUCUUUUGUGUUCUACUUGUAUCUACUUCCUGUAUCCUAACUACCUAUCCCAGGAUCAGGAAAUGAGGAAGCUCUUGGUGAUCGACUGACCUUGCCACCUGGAAGGUAAAACCUGACUGUCAGAUGGGAAAAGUAGGUACAGGGAACUCGGGUCCAAAAGCUUUGGGAAAGGUGGUGGCAGGGAGGAAUGCAGAAACAAAGUGGGGGGUGGUUGAUCCAUGAGCUCUGGCUCCCCAUUUAAACUCGCAGUCCUGUUGAGCUGCCUUUACCUCUGUCUUUCCCAUUCUGCAUCUUCUCUUCUUCUUCCUCUGCACCUUCCUCUGCUGUGAAAACAAGUCCAAGGAGGCCAGUGACCCUUCAGCACAGGACAAGUACAGAAGGAGGGUGAACAAAGCAACUGCUGAGGCUUGGGAGGAAACUCUAGCUAACAGCUCCUGGCUGCAGGCCUCUGAGGGUGCUUCAGCUCACCAGUCUGCACUUGUGUGGCCCAUGCCCCAGCACUGCUGAAUAGGAGCCCAUAAGCCCACAGCCCAAAAGGAGCACUGCAGUCACAUCGCUCACUUUCCUGACCAGGGCCGGGGGCGUGCGGUGUAGGGUUGCGUGCCUCUGUUCUAUGCCUGUCUGCCCUCAGGUGGUGACGACCAGGGAAACAUCUAAUGUCUUGCAUUCAGGUUUAAGAAAGUGACCAUACAAUAUAUGGUGGGGGAAUACCUAGAUUAACACGGGGUUCUGUUAAAAAAAAAAUCUGUAUGUUUUAGCUGAUGAUAAACUUAAAAUGACCGCACAGUGCAAAGUGGCCAUGUGGGAAGCGCUAAUGCUGUCUAAGGUGCUUUUCCAGGGGCCACUCAAGAGGGUCACAGAUGCCUUGUGCUCUGCAGGGACAAGAUCCCCUGUGAUGGAGAGCAGGGUGAUGGGCCCUGGGCAUGUACUUCGAAUAGGAGCCUUGGAAAAUGGCCACAUCCUGGUAUGGUCAAGCGGGCUGGUAAGAGAAAACCAUGUCACGUUUGGAAAGGUUGAAGGAAUUGGGUGUAGCAGUCUACAGAGGAGAAAACUAGGAAGGGUUGUCAUUUGCCAUCCAACCCGUGAAAGGCGAGCCUGCAGAGGAGGGACUGAGCUUAUCCUGGUUAGCUUUAGAGGACAGGGAUAAAUCAGUUACAGAAAGUUAGAUUUUGGCUCUCCACUGAGGAAGAAAUUUCCAGUGAUUAGAGUUGAUCAUGAAUGAGCUCGCUGGAAAUAUUCAGAGGACUGUUUUAUUGGGUGGCAAGUUGGAUUAAAUGACUUCUAACAUCCAUUACAAUUUUUUUCUUUUCUUUUUUUUUUUUUUUUUGAGAUGGAGUUUUGUUCUUGUUGCCCAGGCUGGACUACAGCGGCGCAAUCUCGGCUCACUGCAACCUCUGCAUCCCAGGUUCAAGCGAUUCUCCUGCCUCAGCCUCCCGAGUAGCUGGGAUUACAGGCAUGCACCACCAUGCCAGGCUAAUUUUGUAUUUUUAGUAGAGAUGGGGUUUCACCAUGUUGGUCAGGCUGGUCUCGAACUCCUGACCUUAGGUGAUCCACCUGCCUCAGCCUCCCAAAGUGCUGGGAUUACAGGUGUGAGCCACUGUGCCUGGCCUCGAUCCUUUCCAAUUCUAGGAUCUGAUUAUCUGUGAAAAAACUUUAUAAAGAUGAGGAGUACAAGCUAUGUAUAUACAGUAUGUAUACACUGUAUAGAAUAUAUGUAAAGAUAAUCUGAGUAUGUCCUUUCAUUGGAACAAAAACCUGUCAAGUCACUGUCAAGGAGACAGUAAAAACGUGUUGGUGAUGGGCGAAGCUAUUCUAUUCAUGGAGAAAUUGGCACCCUCACAUGUAAAGGGAGUUUAUGUCUGCAUGUUAGAGGGAUACCGUGCCAUGUGUGGCUUUGGUCCACGUCUACCUACAGGCUUCAGUGACUGAGAGGACAGCAUCAGGGAAAGGGGCCUCUGGGACUCUGGGUUUGAUAUCUUGUCCUGGAGGGGAGUACAAUCUCUGGCUUAAUGCUCUGAAGACCCAAGUUCUAGGACCAGCUUUCCCCCUUCAAGCUGCACGACCUUAGGCAGACCACUUUUCUGACAAGCACAUGCUACAUUUCUAAAGUAAGGGACUGGACAAUGUGCUCUCUAAGGCACCUUCCAAAUUACACUACAUAAUUUUAUUGAAACCAUCCUUUCCUACUAUGAGACACUGCUGAGGAUUCCUAUAAACUUUACAUUUUUGUGAAGCUAUUUGGUCUCUAUGUGCUUUCUGCUUAAUGGUAUUUAAUGACCUCUCACCCUAGCACGAUGAAUGCAGAAGCCACUUAUUUUGCAUAAACUCUAAUAAGUGGCCAUGAAGUACAAGUGUAGUUAAUUCCCAUGGCCCGAAAUUCCCUGAGAAAUUUCCUCUAAAAGUGGGAUUUCUGACAUCUGUGGGGAGCUGUAUUAGGGGAGCUGUAUUAGGGAAAGUGCCUUCUAAUCUACCUGUGAGGUCAUCCUGAAGGCUGUCACCUCUUCUGUUUAUGUGUACAGAGCGGGGCCGUGCUUCUGAUGGGGGUUGAGAAACAGUGCUAGAAUGGAGAGGGUGGCACCAUCAAACAAGAGAGGCAGCGUCUGACCUUAACUGACUGGAAAGACCAGGCUGGGCUAUACACUCACUUUGGUCUGUAUGAAAACAGGCAGACUUGAGAGCAGAGCUGGGGGCUCUGUCCAGUCCCAUGACAACCCUAAACAUGUGAGCUUUCUCCUACGAAGGGCUGAAAAAUACCCAAGGCUUGCCUUCCCUAAGAGUGUUUGAAUAAGUUUAUGUGUUUGAAUGGUCCGUGGAAAAACUGCUUUAUCUUUUUAUUUAAUAAUCCUGUUAAGCUACUUCAAGGUAUUUAAAAGCACUACAUGAGGUGGAAAGAAACAAAGGAGAGCCAUCAGUGUGAGUGACCUAUAGUGCUUAGGAAGGGAAACCAUUAGUUUAACAAAAAACAUGGAGACCCCACUGCUGUGAAAUCAUUAGUGACUCUCUGGACCCUACGUAACUGGCAGAGUCAUGGGGAUUCCUGGAGAUAGGAGGAUACGUGAAUGGCCUUUUAUUUUCUCUCUUUCCUGGGUUUUAUGUAAGGUGAAAUGUCACGAGGUAAAGGUCUUUGGGAAGUCACUGAAUUGGUGAGGUGAUGGAGAGACCGAGAAAGAAGUCACAGAUGAGCUGAACACAAGGAGCAGAAGAGGCGACAGACUCAGGUCAUGAACUUCAGGUGAAAUCAGAGCCUGGUCACGGACAAAAGGAGGGAAUAGGUUUCAAAACCAAGUCAAACAGGAGAGAGCAGAAAGGCAGCAGGGGAAAGUCCAGAGCUUUCCUGGCUGAUUCGGCUCCAGAUCUCUAGGGAAGUUUCAGAAUGAGGUGGUCGGUCAGGCCUAGGGAGAGAGUGGCUGUGGACGAAGUACAGAUGGAAGACGAGGUAAGUGAGAAAGGGGCCUGCCUGCACUCAAAGGUCUGAAUUUCUCUACAUUCAGCUUGCUCCACAAGAUGCACUCCUGAGAUAGGCCUGAAUGUGAAACCGCCCCUACGCGAUCCUGUGUGACAGAGGCUCUCUGAGUGGAGACAUCCAGUGUGUUCCUAGAAGGCAAAGUUAGGUGAUGAAAUGGGGUGGUGCGAGCUGGGUGGUGAGGUUCUGCCAGCGCUGGCGAGGAAGUGAGAAGGGCGCGGGCAAGGCAGGGGAGGCCAGGAAGCUGGCUGGGAGCUCUGGGUUUCACCUGAAUGGAGCUCCUUCACCAGGGAUGACAUGGUGUUGGUGAUGGAGUCAGCUGCCACCAGCAGGUCAUUGCGGAGGUUUCUCCUCGUACCUGAGGAGAGGCAGAGCAGAUGGGGAUGCCAGGGUGGGUGAGCAUGGAGAAGAGACGGCUGAGCAAAAGCCUCAGUUCUGCCAGGCCCGAGGACACAGGUGUGGAAUACCUAAGGGGAGAUGGGGCCACAGCAGCUCCACCCAUUCCCAGGCACACCGGGGGCAGGAGGCACCAGCCCACUGGUCUCUCUCCCUCUGCCCUCUCUACCUAGGGAGCAGCAUCCUGUCAAUUCCACGCUUUGCUGCCACCACACAAUCCAGAGCUGGGUUCCAGAAUAAGCAUUCCACCGAGGUCUUCCUCAGCCUUGUGGGGGUGGGGCUCUACUCUCCACAACCACCGCCACCGCCACCACCACCACCUCCCCUUCUCACCUCCAGCCCCAGCAGGACUUCCCUCUGAAUCCCCACCCAACUACUUAAUACUGCUGGUCACCAGCUCCUCCGAUGACUGUGGCAAUGGCAUGCACACUGUGCUUUCAGCACGGUCCCAGUUACAGUGCCUGUUACAGUCCCUUCUAGGCCAGGGAAUUAUUCCAUCCAAUUCCUCUGGAGGAGACAAAGCCCAAGGGACAAAGCACUUUCAAUAAUCCAGAAAAAAGGGCAGAGAACCCCAGGAGGCCUGUUCUUGGCACACAUAGGAAGCCUGCAGCCUUCCCGCUGGAGACCAGCCCGUCUCAUGAGAAGGGGCCAGCACCUGACUUAUUUACACUGUCAACAUCUGAUCAUUCCAAGCUAAGAGCACAAAACAGAAAUGGAAAAAACCUCAGCAGGAAUCUUGUCCGUGUUUGCAGAUCCCUUCAGCUCCCCGUCGAACACUGCUCCAGAAACUCACCUUGUGCGAAGGCCUCCUGCACGUCUCCCCCGACUCCGCUCAGCGAGUCCUGCGGACAGUGGGUGGGGGUGGAGCCGGCAGACGUGGAGCGCACUGGCAUGGGCAUCGGCCGGCCGCCUCCAUGGGUGGGCGAUGUAUGUGGUGACCCUGUGGCCUGAGCCUGGAGAUUCAAAGAGAGAAAAUACGUUAUCUCAAGUACCUGACCUCUUUGAGGAAGGAAGAAAGUACUUUUUCUCCAUCAACCAGAGCCAGCCAGCGGGCCUCAGUUCAGUGGUACAAGAUCAUACUUGAAAGGAAGGAGUCAGGCUGCUUCCAAGACUGGAGAGAGGAAGAAAAGGAAAAAAGGAAGGGGGCGUGCAGGGCAGAGAGAGAGAACAUCAUAAGAACAAGACCAAGAAUGGGAGGGAAAGAAGAGGCUGGCACAGAGUAGUGGAGGACUCUCAGGAAGACAGAGUGAGCUGCGUAGCUGGGCCAGGGUUCUAGAAGGGCUUGGCUUGCAGGGCAGGAAGUAACAUGCAAACAGCUUUCAUUUUGUUUGCAAACACAUUCAUGUACAUGUUCUCAUUUAGACCCCUCCCCGCCACCCGCUGCCAGCAACCUGUGAGUGGAAAGGACAUACGUGUGUGUGUAUGUAUGUGUGUGUGUGUAUGUGUGUAUGUAUGUAUAUAUUUAUAUAUGUAUAUAUAUCUUUUUUGGAGACAGAGUCUUGCUUUGUUGCCCAGGUGGAGUGCAGUGGUGCGAUCUCAGCUCACUGUAACCUCCACCUCCCAGGUUCAAGAGAUUCUCCUGCUUUAGCCUCCUGAGUAGCUGGAACUACAGGCAUGCUCCACCACACUGGGCUAAUUUUUUGUAUUUUUAGUAGACACGGGGUUUCAACAUGUUGCCCAGGUUGGUCUUUAACUCCUGAGCUCAGGCAAUCUGCUCGCCUUCGCCUCCCAAAGUGCUAGGAUUACAGGUGUGAGCCACCACACCAAGCCAGGGUGUAUAUUUUUAUAUCCAUUUUAUAAAAGAAGAAGAAUGGAAAGAGAGCGUUGUGUCAGGCCACACAGCUUGCCAGUGGGAGGCACGGGAACAACCCCUUGACUCCAAGGGUGGCAGUGUGCACUCUGCAGGCUGCGACCUCACUCCCCCUAAGGGCAUGCUCUGAGCAUGUGGGGAGCUCGGCUGCAGGCUGCAAGCGGGGCCAUGGGGCCAGUCACGCCACAUGCACUGCACAUACACAGCAAGGCUGUCCAGGGCCGCCCUGCAGGGACGAGGUAAGAAAGGACACAUGGUAAACAGAAACCAAACUUUCCUUGGGAGGCCCUGGUAUAGUUGUGGAGAAAGUUUGGAGCAAUGGGAUAAAAUAAAUAAAAGGAGAAAACUAAUCAAGGGCCGCUCACUGAGAUGUGGGCUCUGUAGCUCUUCAGCACAACAGGAACUGAGUGUGGCAGGUGGACUAGGGUUUCCUGUGGAAGCAAAACUGGAAAAAAUAUAAGCCAAAGUGUGAGAGUGAAUUCAAAUGAAGAUAGUUAUCCUUCUGGGGAUCUAGCUCAGAAACCCCAUAUACAAACAGAAUUGGCCCCGAACAGGUAGACAGGCUGGAUGCACGACACCCCACUGCAGUGCUUCAACCGUGUGGCCACCAAACUCAACAGAAAUGGAUUGUUUUCUGUGGUUCUUACUUUGAAUCAUUUGUGUGUGUGUGUGUGUGUGUAUGUGUGUGUAUUUUGAGAAGUUAAAAAAAAAUACAGAAAACUAAAAAGUACAACAUAAUUAACCACCCCAAAUUGGUAACUUCAUAUUGUGUCAAAUGUAUUUCAAUCUAAAGAUAUUGCAGAAAAAUCUGAAGACUGCUUUGACCACCAGUUAUUUCCUGUUCCAGUUCUUUCCUCUCCUCCCUUCAGAGGCAACCCCUAUCAAAAUUUUGCUGUGAAACUUUUAACCUAUAUGUGCAUAUAUAGCUAUGAAUAAUAAAUGGUAUUUCAUGCUUUUAAA